rnacentral:rRNA from 1 species
CGUCUCAGUUCGGAUUGUAGUCUGCAACUCGACUACAUGAAGCUGGAAUCGCUAGUAAUCGCGGAUCAGAAUGCCGCGGUGAAUACGUUCCCGGGCCUUGUACACACCGCCCGUCACACCAUGGGAGUUGGUAACACCCGAAGUCAGUAGCCUAACCGCAAGGAGGGCGCUGCCGAAGGUGGGAUCGAUGACUGGGGUGAAGUCGUAACAAGGUACC